rnacentral:rRNA from 1 species
CGAGCGGAAGGCCACUUCGGUGGUACUCGAGCGGCGAACGGGUGAGUAACACGUGAGUAAUCUGCCCCUGGCUUUGGGAUAGCCACCGGAAACGGUGAUUAAUACCGGAUAUGACCACUUCUCGCAUGGGAUGGUGGUGGAAAGUUUUUCGGCCAGGGAUGUGCUCGCGGCCUAUCAGCUUGAUGGUGAGGUAAUGGCUCACCAUGGCUUCGACGGGUAGCCGGCCUGAGAGGGUGACCGGUCACACUGGGACUGAGACACGGCCCAGACUCCUACGGGAGGCAGCAGUGGGGAAUAUUGGACAAUGGGCGGAAGCCUGAUCCAGCAACGCCGCGUGAGGGAUGACGGCCUUCGGGUUGUAAACCUCUUUCAGCAGGGACGAAGCGCAAGUGACGGUACCUGCAGAAGAAGCACCGGCCAACUACGUGCCAGCAGCCGCGGUAAUACGUAGGGUGCGAGCGUUGUCCGGAAUUAUUGGGCGUAAAGGGCUCGUAGGCGGUUUGUCGCGUCGGGAGUGAAAACGCCGUGCUUAACACGGCGCUUGCUUUCGAUACGGGCAGACUAGAGGUAUUCAGGGGAGAACGGAAUUCCUGGUGUAGCGGUGAAAUGCGCAGAUAUCAGGAGGAACACCGGUGGCGAAGGCGGUUCUCUGGGAAUGACCUGACGCUGAGGAGCGAAAGUGUGGGGAGCGAACAGGAUUAGAUACCCUGGUAGUCCACACCGUAAACGUUGGGCGCUAGGUGUGGGG